UACGUAGGGAGCAAGCGUUGUCCGGAAUCAUUGGGCGUAAAGCGCGCGUAGGUGGCCCUGUAAGUCCGUUGUGAAAGUCAAAGGCUCAACCUUUGAAAGCCGAUGGAUACUGCAGGGCUAGAGUACGGAAGAGGCGAGUGGAAUUCCUGGUGUAGCGGUGGAAUGCGCAGAUAUCAGGAGGAACACCAAUAGCGAAGGCAGCUCGCUGGGACGUUACUGACAC
rnacentral:rRNA from 1 species